rnacentral:rRNA from 1 species
UACAGGGGGUGCAAACGUUGCUCGGAAUCAUUGGGCGUAAAGCGCACGUAGGCGGUUCGUUAUGUCGGAUGUGAAAGCCCUUGGCUUAACCGAGGAAGUGCAUCCGAAACUGGCGAGCUAGAGUACUAAAGAGGAUCGCGGAAUUCCCGGUGUAGAGGUGAAAUUCGUAGAUAUUAGGAGGAACACCGGUGGCGAAGGCGGCUAUCUGGACGAUUACUGACGCUCUGGCACGAAAGUGUGGGGAUCAAACAGG